GGGCUGCCACGACUCGCCGUCUGCGGGGAGAGCCGAGCCGAGCGCCGGGGCUGUGCGUGCGCUGCGAGCGGCGGGCUCUGGCCGGGCCUGCUCUGCUGCUCCGCCGCAGCCAGCCGCCUUCCUGCCCCCGGCAGCUCCCGCGCGGGGCAGGUGCGCUCACCUGCCGCCGGGGCCAGCGCGCCGCAGCCCCGCGUCCCCUUCACCCGCUCCAUGUGAACUUCGAGCCCCGAUCUCGCGAGAGCGGCCGGCUGGUGGCUGUGGGGGUUGCAGCAGCGGCGGCGGCGGCGGCGGGCGGAGCAGGGAAGCGGCAGGCGGAGGCGGCAGCGGACGGGCGGCCGGGCGCAGGGCGGGCAGCAUCAUGGCGGACAGAGACAGUGGCAGCGAGCAGGGCGGCGGCGGCGGGGGCGCGCCGGGCGCCGGGGGGUCGGGCUCCGGCGGCGGCGGGGGGCCGGGGGGCGGCCUGCAGCACGAGACCCAGGAGCUGGCCUCCAAGCGGGUGGACAUCCAGAACAAGCGCUUCUACCUGGACGUGAAGCAGAACGCCAAGGGCCGCUUCCUCAAGAUCGCCGAGGUGGGCGCGGGCGGCAACAAGAGCCGCCUCACGCUCUCCAUGUCGGUGGCCGUGGAGUUCCGCGACUACCUGGGCGACUUCAUCGAGCACUACGCGCAGCUGGGCCCCAGCCAGCCGCCCGAGCUGGCGCAGGCCGCCGACGAGCCGCGCCGGGCGCUGAAGAGCGAGUUUCUGGUGCGGGAGAACCGCAAGUACUACAUGGAUCUGAAGGAGAACCAGCGCGGCCGCUUCCUCCGCAUCCGCCAGACCGUCAACCGGGGGCCCGGCCUGGGCUCCACGCAGGGCCAGACCAUCGCGCUGCCGGCGCAGGGGCUCAUCGAGUUCCGCGACGCCCUGGCCAAGCUCAUCGACGACUACGGCGUGGAGGAGGAGCCGGCCGAGCUGCCCGAGGGCACCUCCUUGACUGUGGACAACAAGCGCUUCUUCUUCGACGUGGGCUCCAACAAGUACGGCGUGUUCAUGCGGGUGAGCGAGGUGAAGCCCACCUACCGCAACUCCAUCACCGUCCCCUACAAGGUGUGGGCCAAGUUCGGCCACACCUUCUGCAAGUACUCGGAGGAGAUGAAGAAGAUCCAGGAGAAGCAGCGGGACAAGCGGGCCGCCGCCGCCGCCUCUGGGCCCGAGCCGCAGGCGGAGACUGAGAGCAGCGCCGCCGCCGCCGGGCCCCCCGGAGCCCUGCUGCAGGCCGACGAGCCGGAGGAGGAUUGAUCCCGACUUGGCUCCUGGCUGCCUCCCUGCCUGCUGCACAGAGACACACACACACACACAGACACACACACACAGACACACAGACAGAGACUUAUACUGUAAUAAAGAGAACCCCAGACACAGAACCAGAGAGAGAUAAAUACAAAAAAAAAAAAAAAAAGUAAAACCAACAAAAAAAAAUGUACCUGUUAAUAACUCCAAGGGAGCACCACCCACUCAACCAACCUCCACAAACUGACAGCUCAGCAACUUCUCCGACUGGCCACCCAUCGCUGGAUGUUCCUCCACUUUAUCCACCAUAUAAAACACUGUGGGAAUCUUGCAUGUUGCUUGUAAAAUGAAAGAUAACUUGAGAGAGAAACGAGAUUAAUGGCGUCACUUUACACUGGACUUUUACGAGUAAAUAUCGGUUUAUUCCUGAAAUCAGAAGCCCUAAACAUACCUUUGUUUAUAAGGUCAGUUGUCAUUUCCUCUCUAUCCUCCCCCAUUUAAUAUAAAUUAUGUGAUCUCUCAGGUAAUUGAAAGAUACAGUUUUCUUCCUAGUUUUCCUCCUCUGCACUACCGAAAAGGGAAUUUAUGGACCUAGAGAACGUCUAUCGGUAAUGUAGGUGUGAAUUUACAGAUUAUUGUUGUUUAAAAUUUCAAACUUUUUUGGAAACUUACUUUUCAGACUAUAGGUGCUUAAGUAAACUGUGGUGGUGGGCGCUUAUAGAAAUCCCCUAAAAUAUAUAUAUAUUUAGGAGACUGAUAUUUGACAAUAUCAUGUGUAGUUCUGUUCCCAUAUAUUCAUUCCUAGUCUUAGAAAGUACUUACCUGAAAGUAUACACUAGAAAAUGAAAGUUCUCUCUUGCAAUAGGUAAAGGGAAAAAACAGAAUUUGAACAGGAUCUUUUUUUAAACUGUUCACAAAACUAUGCUUUGAAGUUGAGAGAAGAGUCAAACAGUGAAAUGUUAAACUUAAAAGGACAUUGUUGGGUAGUUUAGACCACAAAUUUAGGUUUUCUGGUUAUUUUACAAAAAAUUGAGUAGAAAUACAUUUGACAAAAGUCAAUUUUAUUCUUAAAAACCCAGACAGGAUUUGGAAGUAUUUAAACACCUCUUUGUAAUGUUUGCAACCAAACACAACAGCAUUGUGCUCAUACACAAGAGACAGAAGCUAGCAAGGAAUAGAAAAUGAAGCUGACUAAACAGACCAGCCAAAUUUCAUUCUCCAAAACGGGUGAAAUGCAAAGAGUAAAAAAAGGAUUUUAAAAAAAUUCUUUCAAUUUUAAGUAUCUACAGCAUUCAUAAUGCAAGACUAUUUUCUGUAGUUAUUCAGCUGAACAAUGUCCCUUUAAGGAGAUGCAGCACAAUUUGCAAAUUUUAUCCUAGAUGUGUUUCGUUAUCUUUGCUGGUUUUGUGCUCUCAGUACAAAUCAAAGCUCUUGCAACCUUUGUUGGAGUCCAUGGUGACUGGAGUCUUCCAGCAGUAAGUACAUUUUCUGAGCUGAAAACUACCUUUCCUCCCCUUUUGCAGCCUGUGUGGUUCUGACUGCUGGCAGUUCUGUAGUACAGCAGCUUUAACUGAGCAAUUGAGACUGGUCCUACAUUAUCUUCAGAUGGCUUGAGGAGGACUUCUGUUCCCAGUCUGGUACUCAAAUACUCCAUCCCACCUUGAGAAGUCACUUACUUUAAAAGGCAGUGAUAGAUUAUUCUCUUUAGCACUGAUGGAAAAUUACAUUGCAAAGCAGCUUUAUUAUGAACCUUUGGUAUAUUCAUAAUUCCCGUGCAAUCCCAAAUUGGAGAAAAGAGCCUGUUAAAGGUAUAUAUUACUCUAGAUUUUUCUUACUGUAAAUAUUGUAAUUUUAUAAUCCUGUCAAUAUUUUAUUAAUUUAGAAAUAUUUAACAAAGUUUAAUCUGUGUUAGUUCAGAUUUAUUUAAUGGUGUUCCACUUCUGUGGUUCCUGCUGCAGUCAGUAUUGCAUUAUAUUCUAUGUAAGAUUAACUUAAAUAAAAAAAAUUAACAUUGAUUUAAAUACAUCUUUCUGGGAGAAAAGUUUUGAGGUGAGUCUCUUCUUUGAAAUGUAACACUUAUACUUUUCAGCCCCAAUGCUAAGGUAAUUUAAUGAAAUAUUACAGUUACAGAUUUACAAAGCUAAUGCAGCUAAACAACUGCACUUGGAACUUGUCAUUUUAAAACUUGAGAAUACUUGAAUGUAAAUGGCUCUUAUUAGCCAGUUUUCAGUGAACAAGAAUCUCUGCAAUAUCCAAUGUAUCGAAAAUCAAAAAACUCUUUAUAAUGAGUAAAGGGACACUGUACAUCAGUUUUAAGUUUUUGUAAAAACCAGUAUUUGUAAAGGCCAAGUUCAGUAGAAAUGUUUUCAUUAUUUAAAAAAAACAUUCUAAUGAAAACAGAUUUUUUGUUUGUUUGGCUGUAUGCAUUCCCCCAGCAGUGUUUGCAUCCCAAAUAUUGCAGCUUUGUGGUAAUGUGCGUAUGCCAGAAAGCAACUAGAAAUUGACUAGUUGCAGAACAUUAAAUCUUUUUCAUUGUCCAAAUUAAAGGCUCAGGCCUUUGCCCUUUAAAGUCAGUGGCAAAGCUUUCACAGAAACAGGAUCAGGUCCUGAGUGAUCACUUUCUUCAUCUUCCUCAGCACUGAUGGGGGAAAUAAAUUAGAUUUUCUAAAAUUCUUUGUUUUAUUAACCUAAGGUUCUCUAAAGACAUUUUCUUUUUAAAAAUUAAUUUUCAUCUGAUUUUCAUCUGAUUUUUAACUCUUUAACAGUUCGCUUUUAAAAUUUUCAUGUUCUCUGCAGAAUUAUCAAAAGCAAAGUAUUUUUUCCUUUCAGAGGCCAGGGAGGAUUGAUCUCUAAUGUAUUUGCAACAUGACUCUCCUUAAAGGAUCCAAAAUAUCUCAAAGGUUUUUGUAGCAGGUGGUACUUUUGGGUUUACAAGUUAAUCUUUAUUAGAGAUGUGCCAAUAUAUGCUGCUUAUUGUAGUGUUGUUACAUUUAGUCAUUUUAGCUAACUUACAAAUAUAUACUGUAACAGUAUACUUUGUACAGACUUAUUUAAAAUUUAUUUAAAAAUUGAAAUAAAGUAGGCAAAAAAAUAAAGAUGUUUAUUUUUCAUUUGACUAUGUAAGCAGCUAUCAUUCUUUUGUUUUUAGUGUACCUGGGCAAACAAUAUCAGAACGAUAAAAUAUUUUAGAUGAUAGGCCACAUUUCAGAAACUCUGUGGAUAUGUGUAUGUGUAUCUGUAUUGUAUGUUGAUAACUUAACUCUAGAAUGCAAAUAAUGAAAUCAUACUCUUUUUACCAUUUAGAAGAGAAGUGUUUUACAUUUUGACUAUAUUUUCUCUGUUUUAUGACAAAAAGGCAUAUAUUUUUUGAAAGAUGUUUAUGAAGGGCCUGCCAUCUGGCUUCUCAAGUAAAUUUUUAAAAUUCCAGAGUGGGGGUGAUUACUUGUUUAGCCUUUGCUGAUAGACCAAAGUCAGCUUUGACAUCAUAUUGGGGUGCUGCUCAAAUUUAUGUUUUAUGUCCUUUAAGUCAAAAAACAAAACAAGAAAAAUCAAGAUGUUAACUUCAUUAGAAAACAAAUUCCUCACUGUACAGUAGAAUGGAUAUCUCUAAUCACUGUUGUCAUUAAUAAUAGAUUCUUAUUUUUUUGAAUUACUUAUUUAAAAGAACAGCAAGCAUUGUAUUUGCUAGUAAAUAUAAAGUGUUUACAUGUAAUUACUUAAUAAAUUAUUUGAUUUAA